rnacentral:ncRNA from 1 species
ACCGCUAGGGGCGCAUUAGCUGAGAGGAUUUAUUCCGACCCUUUGAACCUGAUUUACGGAUAAUACCGGCGUAGGAAAGUGGAACA